GCAGAACGCGAAGAACCUUACCUGGUCUUGACAUGUCUGGAAUCCCGAAGAGAUUUGGGAGUGCCGCAAGGAACCAGAACACAGGUGCUGCAUGGCUGUCGCCAGCUCGUGUCGUGAGAUGUUGGGUUAAGUCCCGCAACGAGCGCAACCCUUGUCCUUAGUUGCCAUCAUUUAGUUGGGAACUCUAAGGAGACCGCCGGUGACAAACCGGAGGAAGGUGGGGAUGACGUCAAGUCAUCAUGGCCUUUAUGACCAGGGCUACACACGUGCUACAAUGGCAGGUACAGAGGGAAGCCAACCAGCAAUGGGGAGCCAAUCCCAGAAAGCCUGUCUUAGUCCGGAUUGGAGUCUGCAACUCGACUCCAUGAAGCUGGAAUCGCUAGUAAUCGCAGAUCAGCAUUGCUGCGGUGGAUACGUUCCCGGGUCUUGUACACACCG
rnacentral:rRNA from 1 species